rnacentral:rRNA from 1 species
UGGGGAAUAUUGCACAAUGGGCGCAAGCCUGAUGCAGCCAUGCCGCGUGUAUGAAGAAGGCCUUCGGGUUGUAAAGUACUUUCAGCGAGGAGGAAGGCGGUAAGGUUAAUAACCUUAUCGAUUGACGUUACUCGCAGAAGAAGCACCGGCUAACUCCGUGCCAGCAGCCGCGGUAAUACGGAGGGUGCAAGCGUUAAUCGGAAUUACUGGGCGUAAAGCGCACGCAGGCGGUUUGUCAAGUCGGAUGUGAAAUCCCCGGGCUCAACCUGGGAACUGCAUUCGAAACUGGCAGGCUAGAGUCUUGUAGAGGGGGGUAGAAUUCCAGGUGUAGCGGUGAAAUGCGUAGAGAUCUGGAGGAAUACCGGUGGCGAAGGCGGCCCCCUGGACAAAGACUGACGCUCAGGUGCGAAAGCGUGGGGAGCAAACA